CUCCCCUCCCGAAGCUGCCCAGGCCUUCGUGUCCCUCAGUGCUUCCCUACCUCAUCGCCGUCUCCCCUCACGGUACUUCAGCCCACUGUCCCCACCGUUCCUGGGGCUCGCCAGGCGCCCUCUCCCCCGCCCGCUGCCCGGUGCAGCGCUCUCCCGACGCCCGCGUGGCUUUCUUCCAGGUCUUUGCUCAAAUGUCAGCUUACAAGGUCUUCUCUGCUGCCCUCCUGCUCCGUGGCACUGAUUCCCUCCCGAUGCACUGUCAGGCAGACCAAGCCCAGGUGGACCACGUCCCAGGCAGACCAAGCCCAGGUGGACCACGUCCCAGGCAGACCAAGCCCAGGCGGACCACGUCCCAGGCGGACCACGUCCCAGGCGGACCACGUCCCAGGCGGACCAAGCCCAGGCGGACCACGUCCCAGGCGGACCACGUCCCAGGCGGACCAAGCCCAGGUGGACCACGUCCCAGGCGGACCACGUCCCAGGCGGACCAAGCCCAGGUGGACCACGUCCCAGGCGGACCAUGUCCCAGGCAGACCACGUCCCAGGCAGACCAAGCCCAGGCGGACCACGUCCCAGGCAGACCACGUCCCAGGCGGACCAAGCCCAGGUGGACCACGUCCCAGGCAGACCAAGCCCAGGCAGACCACGUCCCAGGUAGACCUAGUGGUUGUGUAUUCACUUCUCCCAACCCCCCUGGGAAGAAAUAACUGCAGCUGGCCCCAUUGCACCAAUGAGGAAACUGAGGCCCAGGGAGGAAGCCGAUUGCCUGAGGCGGCAGCUUUGGGACUGGACUGUGGCUGCCUCCUGAGGAAGGAAACAGUUCCUCCCUCCACCCUCAUCCUGGCAGGGGUUGGGCCACCGUUGCUUCAUCAAGUGUCGUGGAGCCUCCGCUCUGUGCCAGGAGCGGGGCCUGUGCCACAAACGUCUGCUGAAACCAGCCAUCCACCCAACAGUAUCGAGCACCAUGAUCGGAAGAGUAAAGGCCCCAAACUGGGCCAGGGGCGGUGGCUCAUUCCCGUAAUCCCAGCACUUUGGAAGGCUGAGGCGGGUGGAUCAUUUGAGGUCAGGAGUUCGAGGCUAGUCUGGCCAAAAUGGUGAAACCCAUCUCUACUAACAAAAAAAAAAAAAAAAAAAAAAAAAUGGCCGGGUGCAGUGGCUCAUGCCUGUAAUCCCAGCACUUUGGAAGGCCGAGGUGGGUGGAUCAUCUGAAGUUGGGACUUCGAGACCAGCCUGACCAACAUGGAGAAACCCUGUCUCUACUAAAAAUACAAAGUUAACCAGGCAUGGUAGCAGGCAUCUGUAAUCCCAGCUACUCGGGAGGCUGAGGCAGGGGAAUCGCUUGAAUCUGGGAGGCAGAAGUUGCAGUGAGCCAAGAUCUUGCCAUUUCACUCCUGCCUAGGCAACAAGAGCAAAACUCCAUCUUGUUAAAAAAAAAAAACUAGCCGGGCAUGGUGGUGCCUGCCUGUAAUCCCAGGUACUCGGGAGGCUGAGGCAUGAAAAUCACUUGAACCCGGGAGCAGAGGUUGCAGUAAGCUGAGAUUGCACCACUCCACUCCAGCCUGAGAGACAGAGUGAGUGAGAGACUUCACCUCAAAAUAAAUAAAUAAAGUCCCCAAACACACUUGAUUUUAGCCCAGCAAGACUCAUGUCUGUUGCGGGAAGUCAGGGACCCCGAACGGAGGGACCGCCUGGAGCUGUGGCAGAGGAACAUAAAUUGUGAAGAUUUCAUUUUAAUAUGGACAUUUAUCAGUUCCCAAAUUAAUACUUUUAUAAUUUCUUACGCCUGUCUUACUCUCAUCUCUUAAUCCUGUUAUCUUCGUAAGCUGAGGAUGUAUGUCACCUCAGGACCACCGUGAUAAUUGUGUUAACUGUACAAAUUGAUUGUAAAACGUGUGUUUGAACAAUAUGAAAUCAGUGCACCUUGAGAAAAAACAGAAUAACAGCGAUUUUAGGGAACAAGGGAAGACAACCAUAAGGUCUGACUGCCUGCAGGGUCAGGCAAAAAAAGCCAUAUUUUUCUUCUUGCAGAGAGCCUAUAAAAGGACAUGCAAGUAGGGAGGAUAUCGCUAAAUUCUUUUCCUAGCAAGCAAUAUUAAUAUUAAUACCCUGGGAAAGGAAUGCAUUCCUGGGGAGAGGUCUAUAAACAGCUGCUCUGGGAAUGUCUGUCUUACGUGGUUGAGAUAAGGACUGAGAUACGCCCUGAUCUCCUGCAGUACCCUCAGGCUUACUACGGUGGGGAAAAACUCCACCCUGGUGAAUUUGUGGUCAGACGUUUCCCUAUUUUUUGUUCAAGAUGUUUAUCAAGAUAAUACGUGCACCGCUGAACAUGGACCCUUAUCAGUAGUUCUGUGUUGCCUUUUCUCCUGUUCCCUCAGAAGCAAGUGAUCUUUGUUCUGUUUUUUGCCCUUUGAAGCAUGAGCUCUACUCCAUGUUCUCACACCCCCUCCCCUCUUGAAACCCUUAAUAAAAAACUUGCUGGUUUAAGGCUCAGGGGGCAGCACGAUCCUACCGACAUGCGACGUCACCCCCCGGCGGCCCAGCUGUAAAAUUCCUCUCUUUGUACUCUUCCUCUUUAUUUCU
rnacentral:lncRNA from 1 species